GUUUGAGAAACAUUGCUCAACAGUGUUUGAGAUCCUAUUUUGCAAGAUUUAUUGCAAAACCCCGCCCCAAAACGGUAAUUGUUCAAUCUCAUAGCAACUGUUACAAUCAGACAUUCUCCGGAUCUCCUCCCACAGAAAGUAGCGAAGCGCUGUGUGUUUUUUCACUUUCAAAGGUGAAAACAAGAGCUGAAAAUAGCACCUGCUAACUUGUAAGCCAAGGGAGCUGACCGGCAGACCGCCUGAGCUCCAGGCAGCAGGGAUCUCAGCCCAGCCACGGUGCCUCGUCCCGGGGCUUCGUGAUCAGGCCCUGCCCUCCUGCAGUUCCAGCCCAGUGCCAAACCAGCGGAGCGCCAGUCCUCGGCGGAGAAUGCAGCCCAGGCCGGUCCGGCGGAGGGCGAGCGGCGCGGCCCGACAACUGCUGCUGACCCUCACCUUCCUCACGUGCGGCUCCCAGCGGCUGCUCGUGGACGCCAGCUCGUGGUGGUGAGUUAUGUCAUAUGUCACUUGUUUUUUUGUUUUGUUUUUGUCAUUUUCGGUGUGUUAAGUAUCAUGUUUAUCCAACAUAAGACCAACGGGAGGGGGGGUUGCGUCACGCGGCG
rnacentral:lncRNA from 1 species